ACCAUUACGAUGAAACAAAUUGAUGUUU
rnacentral:sRNA from 1 species